rnacentral:rRNA from 1 species
AGUGAACGCUGGCGGUAGGCCUAACACAUGCAAGUCGAACGGCAGCACAGUAAGAGCUUGCUCUUACGGGUGGCGAGUGGCGGACGGGUGAGGAAUACAUCGGAAUCUACUUUUUCGUGGGGGAUAACGUAGGGAAACUUACGCUAAUACCGCAUACGACCUACGGGUGAAAGCAGGGGAUCUUCGGACCUUGCGCGAUUGAAUGAGCCGAUGUCGGAUUAGCUAGUUGGCGGGGUAGGGGCCCACCAAGGCGACGAUCCGUAGCUGGUCUGAGAGGAUGAUCAGCCACACUGGAACUGAGACACGGUCCAGACUCCUACGGGAGGCAGCAGUGGGGAAUAUUGGACAAUGGGCGCAAGCCUGAUCCAGCCAUACCGCGUGGGUGAAGAAGGCCUUCGGGUUGUAAAGCCCUUUUGUUGGGAAAGAAAAGCAGCAGGUUAAUACCCCGCUGUUCUGACGGUACCCAAAGAAUAAGCACCGGCUAACUUCGUG